rnacentral:misc_RNA from 1 species
GAUGAAGAACGCAGCGAAAUGCGAUAAGUAGUGUGAAUUGCAGAAUUCAGUGAAUCAUCGAAUCUUUGAACGCACAUUGCGCCCUUUGGUAUUCCUUAGGGCAUGCCUGUUCGAGCGUCAUUUAAACCUUCAAGCUCAGCUUGGUGUUGGGUGACUGUCCGCUUCACCGCGGACUCGCCUCAAAAUUAUUGGCGGCCGGUACAUUGGCUUCGAGCGCAGCAGAAACGCGAACUCGGGCCCGUCGUAUUGGCACCCAGAAGCUAUCUUCACAAUUUUGACCUCGGAUCAGGUAGGGAUACCCGCUGAACUUAAGCAUAUCAAUAAGCGGAGGA